rnacentral:rRNA from 1 species
UACGUAGGGGGCUAGCGUUGUCCGGAAUCAUUGGGCGUAAAGAGCGUGUAGGCGGCCCGGUAAGUCCGCUGUGAAAGUCGGGGGCUCAACCCUCGAAUGCCGGUGGAUACUGUCGGGCUAGAGUGCGGAAGAGGCGAGUGGAAUUCCUGGUGUAGCGGUGAAAUGCGCAGAUAUUAGGAGGAACACCGAUUGCGAAGGCAGCUCGCUGGGACGUCACUGACGCUGAGACGCGAAAGCGUGGGGAGCAAACAGG